UACGGGGGGGGGUAAGCGUUGUUCGGAAUUACUGGGCGUAAAGGGCUCGUAGGCGGCCAACUAAGUCAGACGUGAAAUCCCUCAGCUUAACUGGGGAACUGCGUCUGAUACUGGAUGGCUUGGAUUCGGGAGAGGAAUGCGGAAUUCCAGGUGUAGCGGUGAAAUGCGUAGAUAUCUGGAGGAACACCGGUGGCGAAGGCGGCAUCCUGGACCGGUAUUGACGCUGAUGCGCGAAAGCCAGGGGAGCAAGCGGG
rnacentral:rRNA from 1 species